rnacentral:lncRNA from 1 species
GCCGCUCUUUCGCCCCCGCAUAUGGAAAAGGAUCUGGUCUUGCCGGGAGAACUGGUACUGACCUAACUGGCCCUAUUCCUACAUGACAGGAAGACCUUCUAUGCCAGUCCUACUACCAGAGUACGGACCAGACAAGGAAUAUCUCUUACUCCAGUACUCAAAAAAAGACAAGUCACUCUUUGAAUUGAGAUAAGGCUAUUUGAACUAGUGGAAAACUCCUUCGGACCCUUCCUUUGUCGUGGGCGUAGGAAAUAAAAAUCCCAUGGAUAAGC